rnacentral:lncRNA from 1 species
ACAAAUAUAAUUAUAGCACCCAAAUCCAUCAGCAAGCUCGAGCUCAUCCUAAGUGAUGGAGCUCUUCCGCUCUCGAGCUCAUCCUAGCUCAUCCUAAGUGAUCGGGCUCUUCCGCUCUCGAGCUCAUCCUAAGUGAUCGGGCUCUUCCGCUCUCGAGCUCAUCCUAAGUGAUCGAGCUCUUCCGCUCUCGAGCUCAUAGACCAGAAGGCCGAGACCAGAGAGCCGAGACCAGAAGGCCGAGACCAGAGAGCCGAGACCAGAGAGCCGAGACCAGAAGGCCGAGACCAGAAGGCCGAGACCAGAGAGCCGAGACCAGAAGGCCGAGCACAGCAGGCCGAGCCCAUGCCUUAGCCAAAUAUCCAAUUUCCACCUAACCCUCUAAGGGACCUGACAACUCCACUAUAACCUGCCACUAUCUCCAAGCCAUC